AUUGAACGCUGGCGGCAUGCCUAACACAUGCAAGUCGAACGAGCGGCGGACGGGUGAGUAAUGUAUCGGGAGUGCCCAAUAGAGGGGGAUAACUACUGGAAAAGGUGGCUAAUACCGCAUACUAUGGGAUGGCCCAUAUGGGAUUAGCUAGUGGGUGGGGUAAAGGCUCACCUAGGCGACGAUCCCUAGCUGGUCUGAGAGGAUGAUCAGCCACACUGGGACUGAGACACGGCCCAGACUCCUACGGAGGCAGCAGUGGGGAAUAUUGGACAAUGGGCGCAAGCCUGAUGCAGCCAUGCCGCGUGUAUGAAGAAGGCCUUAGGGUUGUAAAGUACUUUUAGCAGGGAAGCGGUAUCUGCAGAAGAAGCACCGGCUAACUACGUGCCAGCAGCCGCGGUAAUUC
rnacentral:rRNA from 1 species